GAGUGAACGCUGGCGGUAGGCCUAACACAUGCAAGUCGAACGGCAGCACGGUAAGAGCUUGCUCUUACGGGUGGCGAGUGGCGGACGGGUGAGGAAUACAUCGGAAUCUACUUUUUCGUGGGGGAUAACGUAGGGAAACUUACGCUAAUACCGCAUACGACCUACGGGUGAAAGCAGGGGAUCUUCGGACCUUGCGCGAUUGAAUGAGCCGAUGUCGGAUUAGCUAGUUGGCGGGGUAAAGGCCCACCAAGGCGACGAUCCGUAGCUGGUCUGAGAGGAUGAUCAGCCACACUGGAACUGAGACACGGUCCAGACUCCUACGGGAGGCAGCAGUGGGGAAUAUUGGACAAUGGGCGCAAGCCUGAUCCAGCCAUACCGCGUGGGUGAAGAAGGCCUUCGGGUUGUAAAGCCCUUUUGUUGGGAAAGAAAAGCAGCAGGUUAAUACCCCGCUGUUCUGACGGUACCCAAAGAAUAAGCACCGGCUAACUUCGUG
rnacentral:rRNA from 1 species